UCAGGACGAACGCUGGCGGCGUGCCUAAUACAUGCAAGUCGAACGGUCUUUCUAUGGAAGCUUGCUUCCACUGAGAGGAUAGUGGCGAACGGGUGAGUAACACGUGGGUAACCUGCCCAUAAGAGGGGGGAUAACAUCCGGAAACGGGUGCUAAUACCGCAUAGUUUUCUUGAUCGCAUGAUCGGGAAAGGAAAGACGGCCUUUGUGCUGUCGCUUAUGGAUGGACCCGCGGCGUAUUAGUUAGUUGGUGAGGUAACGGCUCACCAAGACGAUGAUACGUAGCCGACCUGAGAGGGUGAUCGGCCACAUUGGGACUGAGACACGGCCCAAACUCCUACGGGAGGCAGCAGUAGGGAAUCUUCCGCAAUGGACGAAAGUCUGACGGAGCAACGCCGCGUGAGUGAAGAAAGGUUUUCGGAUCGUAAAACUCUGUUGUCAGAGAAGAACAAGUUGGAGAGUAACUGCUCCAGCCUUGACGGUAUCUGACCAGAAAGCCACGGCUAACUACGUGCCAGCAGCCGC
rnacentral:rRNA from 1 species